CCGCCCCCCAAUCCUGAGCCCCGCCUCCGUGUGUGACCUCACCAAGGGACUGGCCUGCAGAGGCCACUCGCGCCCCGCCCCCAGAGGACUCCGGUGUCCGGGUCCGGCUGUGGGUACCGGGGUGGUCCCGAUGCUGGCAGAAGUUCAGAGGGCAGGAGGUAGCCUCGCUGUCCAACAAGGCUGCCGCACCGGAUUUGAGGACGGAGGCCGUGUCUCUAUGGAAGCUCCCUCCCCCAACUGCCUCCCUCCAUGCCUGGCUCUGCCAAGCCCAGGGCCUGGGGCUUUGGAGUCCGGGGCCACCGGGGCCACCGCUGGCUCCUAGUUCCAGUUCCACCACUUAGGGACAGCUGCCCUCUGCCAAGUUUCCUAACCUCACCCAGCCUUGGGGCUGUGGUGAGGAUUAAAAGGUAAUAUCUACCAGUAGAGGGGUGGGCAAUUGCAGAAUAGUCAGGCUAUCUGAUAAAAGGACGAGAACCAGGAGAAGAACAUUGCAGGGAAGAGCAUUUCAGGCCUCCCCCCAGGUAAGCCUUUAAGCUCAGCGUGGUCUAGGAGCCACAGGGAGAAAGCCAGUGCUUUCGCAGCUGAGUGAGCAGGAGCUGGGAAAGAGGCCAGAGGGGAGGCCCUUACCAGAACUGGGAGGGAGAUGGCGGGUGCAAAGGAACCACAGCAGGGUUCAGAGCCAAGAAGUGCUGGGAUCUGACUUCCCUUUCAAUGGGAUCUGUCUGGCUUGAGAAUAACGGAAUGGAACCAGGGCUGAGGCAGGGAGACCAAUCAAGAGUCUGUUGCAGGGCUGGGCACGGUGGCUCACGUCUGUAAUCCCAGCACUUUGGGAGGCUGAGGUGGGCGGAUCACGAGGUCAGGAGUUCGAG
rnacentral:lncRNA from 1 species